rnacentral:sRNA from 1 species
AAAGCACAGAGGUGGCUUACUCUUAAUCAUGCUUUUCUAAUCUUUUCCCUGCUAGCCAAGAAGGAUCAAGAAGGUGGAGAAGAAAAGAAAUCUGUGCAAAAGAAAAAAGUAAAAGAGUUAAAGGUGUUGGAUUCAAAGACAGCCCAGAAUCUCUCAAUCUUUUUGGGUUCCUUCCGCAUGCCCUAUCAAGAGAUUAAGAAUGUCAUCCUGGAGGUGAAUGAGGCUGUUCUGACUGAGUCUAUGAUCCAGAACCUCAUUAAGCAAAUGCCAGAGCCAGAGCAGUUAAAAAUGCUUUCUGAACUGAAGGAUGAAUAUGAUGACCUGGCUGAGUCAGAGCAGUUUGGCGUGGUGAUGGGCACUGUGCCCCGACUGCGGCCUCGCCUCAAUGCCAUUCUCUUCAAGCUACAAUUCAGCGAGCAAGUGGAGAAUAUCAAGCCAGAGAUUGUGUCUGUCACUGCUGCAUGUGAGGAGUUACGUAAGAGUGAGAGCUUUUCCAGUCUCCUAGAGAUUACCUUGCUUGUUGGAAAUUACAUGAAUGCUGGCUCCAGAAAUGCUGGUGCUUUUGGCUUCAAUAUCAGCUUCCUCUGUAAGCUUCGAGACACCAAGUCCACAGAUCAGAAGAUGACGUU